UGUUAUGUUAGUUGACACAUAUAAAUUUAUAAAUUUAACACCUUAUCUCUUUGUGAGGGUUGAAGCGAAUUAAAAGAUUUUCAAACAGGUUAUGAUAUUAUUUCCAUAUACCUACGACAAACGAAAUAUGAACCGUUUUCGAGAUAAAUGAUGUCCAUCGCAAAACACGUCGAAAAAAAGGCGUUCCUGGAAUUCGCCUAUAACUUUUUGAUUAUUUAUUGAUGAAAAAAUUUCAACACGUACUUAGAAACAUCUACUAUUCGACGUUGACAAAAUAUUUUGAAUAAAUAUUAUUUAUGGUGUCAAAAAAAA